rnacentral:rRNA from 1 species
UCAAAUGAACUAAGGCGUACGGCGGAGACCUAGGCACUCAGAGACGAUGAAGGGCGCAGAUACCGGCGAAACGCUUCGGGGAGCUGGCAACAAGCUUUGAUCCGAAGAUCCCCGAAUAGGGCAACCUCUAUAGAACUUCCUAUACAAUUCAUAGUUAGGGAAGAGGCAACCCAGUGAACUGAAACAUCUAAGUAGCUGGAGGAAAAGAAAGCAAACGCGAUUCCCGUAGUAGCGGCGAGCGAACCGGGAUCAGCCUAAACCAGUUUUAAAAACUGGUGUAGUGGGAGG